UGCGUCUGGCAGCGCAGGUCCAGCAGCGUGGGCCCCAGGAAGGCGAUGCACAGGCCGAAGCUGAAGAAGACGCUCCAGUAGGUACUGGUCCCAUCUCACAGCAGCACCCCUGCCUCUGCUCUGUCCCUCCCUGGACAGUGAGCCCCAGAGAUGGGGGAGUCCCAGGGUCCCGUGGCCCACCACUCUAGAUGGAGUCUUGCUAUGUUGCCCAGGCUGGUGUCAAACUUCUGGCCUCAAGCAAUCCUCCCACCUCAGCUGGGAUUAUAAGCAUGAGCAACUAUGCCCAACCUGACAUUUUCACUAUGUACACUCUUGUACCUUUUCAAUUAUGGAAGACAUGAAUGUGUUUUCUUUUAAAUAAACUCUCAGGAAACCACUUGCCAAACUCCUACUUGCUAUAGAAUUGCUUGAGGAGAGAAUUUAAAAUGCAGAUUCACAGAGUUCAUCCCCCAGGGAUUUGGACUUUGGAGGUCUGGGGACUGUGAUCCCUGGGGAGGGAGGGAGCUGGAAUUCCUGCUGAUGGAGAAGUGGCUGAGAUCUUAAGAAGCUGAGAGGAAGAAAAGAUUACAUCCUAGCCGCCUCUGAGACGCUGAGCUCCUGGGAGUGGGGUCUAAGUCAGGGUCAAUGCUUUUAGGUGACCAGAAGGCAAGGAUUUCCUAGUCCCUGGAAACCAGACACCCAUCCUCCAUUCAAACGAGUGAGGUGGAGUGUCCAUGUCAGAGGCUACACCUGCCGGGAGGCAGCUGCUCAGGUCUCCUCCACUCCUACUCUGAAUUGAACGCCAAACAAACCCAGUUUCAAACUCUGGUGCUACCACUAGCAGGCUGUGGAAUAGCAAUGAAGUUAUAAAACCCCUCUCACCCUUGGCUCCAGUCAUUCCUUCAUUCAUUCAACAAUGACCGCACACCUGCUGCGUGCCAGGCACAGUUGCAGACCCUGAGAAUCCACAGAUAUAGAAACACCAGACCCCUCAAGGACAAAGACCGUAAAGACCUUCAGUCCUGUCUCUGGGUUUCUCUCCAUGACCAACUUUGGCAACAGAAUGGCAGGGGCCGUUGAGGCUGGCACCCCUGGGGACUUCUAAGUCUCAUGAGGAGGGAGGGGAUGGGGAGGAUUUCCCAGCAUCUCUAAACCAUAUUCCUACGUCACUUUUAAGAUCCAGGACACAUUGCCACGUGCAAUACAUGUUGGUACCUUUCUUUUCAGUUUCAGGCAGGCCAGGGACCUGUUUCCAGGGGUUUCUUCUCAUUAGGCCAGCUCUUGUCCUAGGCAGGACUUGAGCGUGACUGG